CUCUAUUAGGAAUUCCGCCCUGAACUUGCUACAGAAACUGAGGGAGAUCUGGAGCAUAUGUUUUCAAUUCAUUUACACUUGACUCAUCAAACCAGCCUGCCUUUCUAAAGAGAGCUAUUUGAUGUUUAAGGAAUUAUUUCCACCUUUUAAAAAGAAACCUUCUAGAGUCUUUCUCUGUCCACCACGGGAAGCUGCCAAAUGCUAGAAGAAUAGAAACUCCAAUGCAGGAAGGUUCAGGGACGGUUCAAAACUCAGAGCCAUGAAUUUAGAGAGGGUUCAAAAGUUGGCAAAGUGAACCCUCUCAUCCCUGCCCACAAAUAAUAAAUAACAAUCACAACAAGGAAGAGGAGAAAGGGGGAAAGCCACUGGAAAGCCGUGUGACCCCCGGUCCUUUCCUCAAUGGACACAGUCAUCGUGAGGCUUCCGAUCACGGAGUAAGGAAGUGAGAGACGGCUGGAUGGAGACUUAAGUCUCCCUUCAUUUGCUAUGGCUUUCCGUCCAUAUUCAGAUGUCUUUGCACACAGACGGCCACGAGCCGGCAGCCAUCUGAGGACCUCGACUGCUUGAGCACCUUGAAAUGUGAUCAAGCCUUGAGAGCAGAACUGUGGCGAGCAGAGCGGACUGUUGGUGAAAUGAGAAUGGGCUUUUGUGAUGAAGGGCCGGCCAUCAGGCAUGGGAGGGCACCGUGAAGGGUCCACGUGCCAGCAUCGUUCGUGUGCCUGUGGGCUAGCUCCGUGGGAUGGCGCAGAAGUGAAGGGAACGAAGGCUUCUGGCCUCACAGUCACAGCGUCGACCGCCAUGGAGGGAAAAGACAUUCCAUGCCGACGGAGGCUCCUGCUAACUGAACCGGAGCCACUUCAAGUUCCAAGUCUGUCUACCUGCCUUCCUCCCUGCCUCCCUCACACUCAUUCAUUCAUUUAUCACCAUUCCUGAACCACGAGCCAGGAACUGUGCUGGGCCCUGAGAGCACAAUGACAAAUAAAACCAAAUGUGC
rnacentral:lncRNA from 1 species